rnacentral:rRNA from 1 species
GACAGAGGGUGCAAACGUUGUUCGGAAUUACUGGGCGUAAAGCGUGUGUAGGCGGUCUUGUAAGUCGGGUGUGAAAGCCCAGGGCUCAACCCUGGAAGUGCACUCGAAACUGCAAGGCUAGAGUACCGGAGAGGUUGGUGGAAUUCUCGGUGUAGAGGUGAAAUUCGUAGAUAUCGAGAGGAACACCGGUGGCGAAGGCGGCCUUCUGGACAGUGACUGACGCUGAGACGCGAAAGCGUGGGGAGCAAACAGG